GGGACUAUAGUUAAUAAUAACAUUUGAGUUGCAUUCAAAAAGUACUGCCUGGGCAGUUAGCCUCA
rnacentral:tRNA from 2 species